UACGAAGGGGGCUAGCGUUGUUCGGAUUUACUGGGCGUAAAGCGCACGUAGGCGGACUAUUAAGUCAGGGGUGAAAUCCCGGGGCUCAACCCCGGAACUGCCUUUGAUACUGGUAGUCUUGAGUUCGAGAGAGGUGAGUGGAAUUCCGAGUGUAGAGGUGAAAUUCGUAGAUAUUCGGAGGAACACCAGUGGCGAAGGCGGCUCACUGGCUCGAUACUGACGCUGAGGUGCGAAAGCGUGGGGGAGCAAACAGGAUUAGAUACCCUGGUAGUCCACGCCGUAAACUAUGAGAGCUAGCCGUCGGGCAGUAUACUGUUCGGUGGCGCAGCAAACGCAUUAAGCUCUCCGCCUGGGGAGUACGGUCGCAAGAUUAAAAACUCA
rnacentral:rRNA from 1 species